UUUCCGUAGGUGAACCUGCGGAAGGAUCAUUACCGAAUCGUCAAACACGGGUUGUUGCUGGCCCCCCGAACGGGGCAUGUGCACGCUCUGUUUACGCAUCCACUCACACCUGUGCACCCUCUGUAGUUCUAUGGUUCGGAAGACCCCGUCUUCCUUCCGUGGCUCUACGUCUUUACACACGCACCGUAGCGACGUCUCAUGGAAUGUUUUUAUGCGUUUAACGCGAUACAAUACAACUUUCAGCAACGGAUCUCUUGGCUCUC
rnacentral:misc_RNA from 1 species